rnacentral:rRNA from 1 species
UACGUAGGGGGCCAGCGUUGUCCGGAAUCAUUGGGCGUAAAGCGCGCGUAGGCGGCCAGAUAAGUCCGGUGUGAAAGUCAAAGGCUCAACCUUUGAAUGCCGCUGGAAACUGUCUGGCUUGAGUCCGGGAGGGGCGAGUGGAAUUCCUGGUGUAGCGGUGAAAUGCGCAGAUAUCAGGAGGAACACCAAUGGCGAAGGCAGCUCGCUGGGACGACACUGACGCUGAGACGCGAAAGCGUGGGGAGCAAACAGG